rnacentral:lncRNA from 1 species
GAGGACAGGGAGGGAGGAGAACACGACAGAAGAAGAAAACUGUUGCAGAAGGAAAAUUGCAGGAGCACAAAUACAAGAGGAGACAUUUUCACAGGUAUAUGGAUCCUGUCAAUUAAUUCUUGUUGGGUGGCAACCCUCAAAUCAUUUUCUUGGAUGAUGAAUCCAUAUUGGGUGGCAACCCUCAAAUCAUUUUCUUGGAUGAUAAUUCCAUAAUGGGUGGCAACCCUCAAAUCAUUUUCUUGGACGAUGAAUCCAUAUUGGGUGGCAACCCUCAAAUCAUUUUCUUGGAUGAUAAUUCCAUAAUGGGUGGCAACCCUUAAAUCAUGAACAACAAAUCCAUGAGAGGAUUCCUGUUUAACAAAGCUCUGCCGAGCAAAAGGAAAUCCUUUGAAAUGGAAAUGGUGUUUGGAGGGUUAAUUCAAAAAAUGUACAAAAAAAAGAGAGCGUGAAUUACCUCUUGGGCUCUCUCACCACUCCUCUCCAUCUCUGCUUAAGAAGGCCUUUAUUUUUCUCUCUGAGCAAACUACAUCAAAAAAAUGCAAAGGAUGUUAGUCAUGAAGAAAAGAAUAGGCAGAGAAAAAAAUGGAGAUCUGUAAAAAAAAAAAAGGGGAAAAGAAAAUAGAGGCCAUGUUUUUCUGUCACAGCCUCUCUCCCUCUCUCUCUUAGAUGAUCCUCUUGUUGGGCACACAAUCACAACAGACAGAAAAAAAUUAAACAGACAAUUAAA